rnacentral:rRNA from 1 species
GACGGAGGAUGCAAGUGUUAUCCGGAAUCACUGGGCGUAAAGCGUCUGUAGGUGGUUUAAAAAGUCCACUGUUAAAGAUUGAAGCUUAACUUCAAAAUGCCGUGGAAACUUUUAAACUUGAGUAUGAUAGGGGUAGAGGGAAUUUCCAGUGGAGCGGUGAAAUGCGUAGAUAUUGGAAAGACCACCAAUGGCGAAGACACUCUACUGGGCCAUUACUGACACUGAGAGACGAAAGCUAGGGAGCAAAUGGG